AUUUCUUUAACAUUUGUAGGAGAGCUUUUACAUUGUAAUUCGCUCUUUCGUAGCAUUUAGAAAUUUUCAGUUCUUUAAUUAAGGGAGUUUGUAGCGGUGUUUUGCGAGGUUCUGGUCUACCGAAGAUUGGAUUUGCCAACAAUUUCACAGCUUUUAAUUUUAAUUUGCUGUUUAGGACUCCCUCUUGGAGUAACUCUAGCAUUUUUCGUUUACCAUGAAGCUUGAGAUUGAGGGCUUUCUUGAAGAUUGCGGGCUUUCUUGUCAUUUGCAGGCUUCUUUGUAUUCGUUACUUCUGUGGAGAACAGAUCAGGACAAGCAAGCUGAGCUAGCACAGCGAAGAACUGCAGUAAAAUCUGUGACGAAGCCAAGUUCGGAUGGUGUGUUAAAUGGAGACUUUUCAAAGCUGAAAGAAAACAACGACAAAGAGGAGAAGUGUUAGUUAUCUUGAAAUUAUGAGCUUCAUGGUAAAAGAUGUAUGAAAUCUACCACUAAGCUAUCGAGUCAUCAUGAGUUGGUCAAGUCUCACUUUGUGUGACCUUAUUCGGCGUUAAACGAGAAAAUUUCCCCUUGCUUCUGCAUAGCGUGGCAAUUAUCGCUGGCAAUUAUUUCAUUGAUGGGUUGAAAUCUCGCGCAAUUUUUUCAACCAUUGCACCAACCCCGCUCCCUAGGUUUCUCUUUUCCUGAGACCCUGGGAAAGAGGUUGCCAUUGCACUCGAGCCUCAGUUUUCCGCGCUUUUGGAAGUUGUAAAUUGAGUCGUAUUCUCACUGGCUCUUUGUGCCGCUGGCACUUUCUGCGAUUGGUUGAAAUCUUGUUCAUUAUCGAGGGUGUUCUUACUAACCGAGUUCGAGAUCCGUAAUGUAAGUUAUGGGCCAAGGUUUUCCCUUUGAUUUAUGGCCUGCGUGCAUCGGCAGCGCGUGCAGCACGAUUAUUUAUAUUUAUUCAACCAAUCAUGUAAUUGUUUUCUGAUGCACCGACGCCACUCAAUCGUCACUCCAGAAUAAAAUUUGGCGUUAAGCGAUGAAGACUUUUGCAAUUAUAUCCAUUAUGUUUUCGUCCUAUAAUUUUGGUGAAGUAGGCUACAACUGGAUAGGAAGGA